UCUUAUCUUGAACAGCUGGAGAUCUCCCUCUCUCUCUCUCUUUCUCUCUCUCUCUCACACACACACACACACACACAGAGAGAGAGAGAGAGAGAGAGAGAGAGAGAGAGAAUAUGCUGGUUCUUUAUA
rnacentral:miRNA from 1 species